ACCUGCCCGUAGCUGGAGAAUAGCUUCCGGAAACGGAAAUUAUACUCCAUAAUAUUCUAGUAUCGCAUGUAAUUAGAAUUAAAGCUUCGGUGGCUACGGAUGGGCAUAUGUCCCAUUAGCUUGUUGGUGAGGUAACUGCUCACCAAGGCUACGAUGGGUAGGGGGUCUGAGAGGAUGAUCCCCCACACUGGUACUGAGACACGGACCAGACUCCUACGGGAGGCAGCAGUGAGGAAUAUUGGUCAAUGGGCGAAAGCCUGAACCAGCCAUGCCGCGUGCAGGAUGACAGUCCUACGGAUUGUAAACUGCUUUUCUGCAAGAAGAAAUGUUCCGACGUGUCGGGAUUUGACGGUAUUGCAGGAAUAAGCAUCGGCUAACUCCGUGCCAGCAGCCGCGGUAAUACGGAGGAUGCAAGCGUUAUCCGGAUUCAUUGGGUUUAAAGGGUGCGUAGGCGGAUUAGAUAGUCAAAGGUGAAAGCCUGCAGCUUAACUGUAGAAGUGCCUUUGAUACUGCUAAUCUUGAGUACAGUUGAGGCGAGUGGAAUGUGUAGUGUAGCGGUGAAAUGCAUAGAUACUACACAGAACACCAAUUGCGAAGGCAGCUCGCUAAGCUGUUACUGACGCUCAGGCACGAAAGCGUGGGGAGCGAACAGGAUUAGAUACCCUGGUAGUCCACGCUGUAAACUAUGAUCACUAGCUUUGUCUUUUUUUUUNNCAUUGCUCAUUCGAAAGCUUUAAGUGAUCCACCUGGUGUUUUUGAUUCUUUUGUUUUUNUCUUAUUGGUUUUUCUGUGGUCCUCUCUUUUUGUUUUUUCAUCUGUUUUAUUUUGUUGAUACUCGAGGAACCUUACCUGGGCUUAAUUAUGANUGUCUUCUCGUUGAUUCGUGAUUCCCUUCUGGGCUUUNUUACUAGUUGCUGCAUGGUNGUCGUCAGCUCGUGCCGUGAGGUAUCGGGUUAAGUCCCAUAACGAGCGCAACC
rnacentral:rRNA from 1 species